rnacentral:rRNA from 2 species
UACGGAAGGUCCGGGCGUUAUCCGGAUUUAUUGGGUUUAAAGGGAGCGUAGGCCGCCAGGUAAGCGUGUUGUGAAAUGUACCGGCUCAACCGGUGAAUUGCAGCGCGAACUGUCUGGCUUGAGUGCACGGUAAGCAGGCGGAAUUCAUGGUGUAGCGGUGAAAUGCUUAGAUAUCAUGAAGAACUCCGAUUGCGAAGGCAGCUUGCUGCAGUGCGACUGACGCUGAUGCUCGAAGGUGCGGGUAUCAAACAGG